rnacentral:lncRNA from 1 species
UGCCUGUAAGCCCCUGUGCUCCCUCUCACCCAUUUGGGGCUGUCCUUGCCCAUCUGGUGUGUAAGAUUUGCCAUUUCUGUGCACCACGCGGGGCCACUGCCCUGAGAGGUAAGGCAGUGACGGAGGUAAACGGAAAAUUGAAUGUGCCAUCAGCGGAAUUAAAAGCAGCCCGCUCGAGGUGGAGAAAAUUAAAGCCAUUAAAAAUAGAAAAGAGCCGUCCAACCUUCAGCCUAAAUUUUCUUCUUUCCUUCCAGGAGACCGUGGUUUAAAGGGUGGCUGCGUUAUGUGUGGACGGUGCUGCCUGCUCGCUGGUCAGGCAGCUCAGGCUUCGUCUGAUGAACCAGGAGCAUCUUCCCCUGGGCCAGGCAGCCUGGGUCACUCCAUCAGCACUGCAGCCAGCACUGGGUGGCCAAGCAGGAGCCGAGGUCAAUCUAGUGCCAAGGAGACCAACGUGCUGGACAGUCCCUGGAGCCCUGGUGCCAUUCAUACGGAGGAAAUAUCUCCAGCGUUUAGGGCACGGUUUGCUUUCUCCUCUUCUCUUGGCCUCUCUGCUGAGGUUGCCAACAGGGGCUUGUGUUCACGACCUGCCCCAGCAAUUCAUGGGGUGAGUGUGGGUUUUCAUGCUCUGAGCCCACGGAGAGCUGGUCCAGGGAUGUUCCCCAGUGUGGGGUAUAUCUUUGUUGUUGUAGGGUGGUUUUCUGCUGGGUUAGCUCCCUGGGGCAGCCGGAUGAGCACUGGUGCUAGGUGCACGUGGUGGGUUUGAUAUAGAGGGGAGAGUGACGGCCCCUCCGCAUGGCAGCCAGAUAUUUGGCUCCUCUCCGUGGCAAAGCUGCCCCGAGGGACCUGAAUGCUCCCAGCUCUUUCUCUGCUCCCAGUUCCCAUGAGCUGGAUUGCUCUGGGGGCACCGAAACACCUUCCUGGGUCACCUACAGCCGGAUGAAUCAUGUUCCCAGGUGGAGAAUUCGAUCAAUCAAAGACUUUUUGCUGGUGCUACCACCUUGUGUCGACGCAGCUGUCCUUGGGACCUGCCCUGAGCCUGUCCCUGGGGCAAUUUGAACUAAAAAUGUAACUCUGGGAUUUUCUAGAAGGUUGGAGGGGGCUUCACAGCCCCAUUCCCGGGGUUCCUGUAUCUGGUUUAGGAAGAGCUUUAAGACAAGUUCCAAUGCAUUUGGUAAACCAGAGAAAUGUGUCAGCCCUGAGGGCUGCAAAGCACGGCCAGACCAACAGCUCUAGAUACAAAUUGGUGUCCUGGGUGCAGAGCAGAGAGCAAGGAUGCUUCAGACAUGGGACCACGUUAGCUCCUACCUCCCUAGGCACAGUCCAGGCUGGUGGGAUGCCAGCUACAACACCCCCAGCCUCGUCUUCCCUUCUCCAGCCUGUCCUCAGAACCAUUUUUUCACCACUUUUCACGCCACAAUCUGCUUGUUUUUUUCCUCUCCCCACGUGGCUCUGUCCUUCUGACCUCUUGCCUCUGACCUGUUGUUCAGCUAAUGAGCGCACAAUUAGCUCCUGCCCUUUGAGUCUUCUCUUCUGUCAAGAUGAAGUGCUGAAAGGUGCCCGGGGAGGGUUUCUCUGGAGCUUAUCUCAUCAGCGAUGGGCCUGAGACCUCUGGAGAUGCUCUCGGCGUAGCAAAGGCCAGAGGUCAGCUCACUGCAGCUGGCCCGAGGGACUGGUUUAGGGGAACAAGAAUUAUAUUUCUGCAUAAGGUCUCCUACGAGAUGCAAACUGCUUUGCUGUGGAUCCAUGGGGUGCCAGUGAGGGUG